rnacentral:rRNA from 1 species
GACGAACGCUGGCGGCGUGCUUAACACAUGCAAGUCGAACGGAAAGGCCAUGCUUUUGUGGGGUGCUCGAGUGCCGAACGCGUGAGUAACACGUGUGUAAACUGCCCCUGACUGUGGGAUAACUUCAGGAAACUGGGGCUAAUACCGGAUAGGAGCUCCUGCUGCAUGUGGUGGGUUGGAGAGAUUCGGCGGUGGGGGAUGGACUCGCGGGUUAUCAGCUUGUUGGUGGGGUAGUGGCGUACCAAGGCUUUGACGGGUAGCCGGCCUGAGAGGGUGACCGGCCACAUUGGGACUGAGAGACGGCCCAGACUCCUACGGGAGGCAGCAGUGGGGAAUAUUGCGGAAUGGGCGGAAGCCAGAUGCAGCAAUGCCGCGUGCGGGAUGACGGGCUUCGGGUUGUAAACCGCUUUCGCCGGUGACGAAGAGUGAGUGACGGUAAUGGGUAAAGAAGCCCCGGCUAACUACGUG